UACGUAGGGGGCGAGCGUUACCCGGAAUCACUGGGCGUAAAGGGAGCGUAGGUGGCCUAACAUGUCAACUGUGAAAACCCGGAGCUCAACUCCGGACUUGCAGUUGAGACUGGUAGGCUUGAGGACGGUAGAGGAAGACGGAACUGCCAGUGUAGGGGUAAAAUCCUUAGAUAUUGGCAGGAACGCCGGUGACGAAGGUGGUUCUGCGGUCGU
rnacentral:rRNA from 1 species